CGGACGGGUGAGUAACGCGUGGAAAACCUGCCGUAUACUGGGGGAUGACACUUAGAAAUAGGUGCUAAUACCGCAUAAGCGCACAGCUUCGCAUGAAGCGGUGUGAAAAACUCUGGUGGUAUACGAUGGUUCCGCGUCUGAUUAGCUAGUUGGUGGGGUAAUGGCCUACCAAGGCAACGAUCAGUAGCCGGCCUGAGAGGGUGAACGGCCACAUUGGGACUGAGACACGGCCCAAACUCCUACGGAAGGCAGCAG
rnacentral:rRNA from 1 species